AACGAACGCUGGCGGCAUGCCUAACACAUGCAAGUCGAACGAAGCCUUCGGGCUUAGUGGCGCACGGGGGCGUAACGCGGGGGAAUCUUCCCUUGGGUUCGGAAUAACAGUUAGAAAUGACUGCUAAUAUCGGAUGAUGUAUUCGGACCAAAGAUUUAUCGCCCAAGGAUGAGCCCGCGUAGGAUUAGGUAGUUGGUGGGGUAAUGGCCCACCAAGCCGUCGAUCCUUAGAUGGUUGGAGAGGAUGAUCAGCGACAAUGGGACGGAGACACGGCGCAGACUCCUACGGGAGGCAGCAGUGGGGAAUAUUGGAAAAUGGGCGAAAGCCUGAUCCAGCAAUGCCGCGUGAGUGAUGAAGGCCUUCGGGUUGUAAAGCUCUUUUACCAGGGAUGAUAAUGACAGUACCUGGAGAAUAAGCUCCGGCUAACUCCGUGCCAGCAGCCGCGGUAA
rnacentral:rRNA from 1 species